UAUGAGAGUUUGAUCCUGGCUCAGGACGAACGCUGGCGGCGUGCCUAAUACAUGCAAGUCGAACGCUUCUUUUUCCACCGGAGCUUGCUCCACCGGAAAAAGAGGAGUGGCGAACGGGUGAGUAACACGUGGGUAACCUGCCCAUCAGAAGGGGAUAACACUUGGAAACAGGUGCUAAUACCGUAUAACAAUCAAAACCGCAUGGUUUUGAUUUGAAAGGCGCUUUCGGGUGUCGCUGAUGGAUGGACCCGCGGUGCAUUAGCUAGUUGGUGAGGUAACGGCUCACCAAGGCCACGAUGCAUAGCCGACCUGAGAGGGUGAUCGGCCACAUUGGGACUGAGACACGGCCCAAACUCCUACGGGAGGCAGCAGUAGGGAAUCUUCGGCAAUGGACGAAAGUCUGACCGAGCAACGCCGCGUGAGUGAAGAAGGUUUUCGGAUCGUAAAACUCUGUUGUUAGAGAAGAACAAGGAUGAGAGUAACUGUUCAUCCCUUGACGGUAUCUAACCAGAAAGCCACGGCUAACUACGUGCCAGCAGCCGCGGUAAUACGUAGGUGGCAAGCGUUGUCCGGAUUUAUUGGGCGUAAAGCGAGCGCAGGCGGACGAAUUGCAAAAGUAAGGAUUUCAGAUAAAAACAAUUACUUGAGCAGAUAAAUCAGUUACUUGAGUGCAGAAGAGGAGAGUGGAAUUCCAUGUGUAGCGGUGAAAUGCGUAGAUAUAUGGAGGAACACCAGUGGCGAAGGCGGCUCUCUGGUCUGUAACUGACGCUGAGGCUCGAAAGCGUGGGGAGCAAACAGGAUUAGAUACCCUGGUAGUCCACGCCGUAAACGAUGAGUGCUAAGUGUUGGAGGGUUUCCGCCCUUCAGUGCUGCAGCUAACGCAUUAAGCACUCCGCCUGGGGAGUACGACCGCAAGGUUGAAACUCAAAGGAAUUGACGGGGGCCCGCACAAGCGGUGGAGCAUGUGGUUUAAUUCGAAGCAACGCGAAGAACCUUACCAGGUCUUGACAUCCUUUGACCACUCUAGAGAUAGAGCUUCCCCUUCGGGGGCAAAGUGACAGGUGGUGCAUGGUUGUCGUCAGCUCGUGUCGUGAGAUGUUGGGUUAAGUCCCGCAACGAGCGCAACCCUUAUUGUUAGUUGCCAUCAUUCAGUUGGGCACUCUAGCAAGACUGCCGGUGACAAACCGGAGGAAGGUGGGGAUGACGUCAAAUCAUCAUGCCCCUUAUGACCUGGGCUACACACGUGCUACAAUGGGAAGUACAACGAGUUGCGAAGUCGCGAGGCUAAGCUAAUCUCUUAAAGCUUCUCUCAGUUCGGAUUGCAGGCUGCAACUCGCCUGCAUGAAGCCGGAAUCGCUAGUAAUCGCGGAUCAGCACGCCGCGGUGAAUACGUUCCCGGGCCUUGUACACACCGCCCGUCACACCACGAGAGUUUGUAACACCCGAAGUCGGUGAGGUAACCUUUUUGGAGCCAGCCGCCUAAGGUGGGAUAGAUGAUUGGGGUGAAGUCGUAACAAGGUAGCCGUAUCGGAAGGUGCGGCUGGAUCACCUCCUUU
rnacentral:rRNA from 1 species